rnacentral:ncRNA from 2 species
AACGUGAUAGCGGGAGAGCUUGGCGCAUCAACACACAAUGACGCCAGCGCCGAAGGAGCAACAGCCCCGGAAACUCUCAGGCAACCGGACCGCUAUUACCAU